rnacentral:pre_miRNA from 12 species
AGACCCCCCAGCCCAGGCUGCCCAGUGUUCAGACUACCUGUUCAGGAGGGUUGAAAGUUGUACAGUAGUCUGCACAUUGGUUAGGUC